rnacentral:lncRNA from 1 species
GCCCUUCUCGGGUCCCCUAGGUCGCGGGGCAGCCGGGGCGGAAGGGGCUUGUUCAUUAUUUUGAGAGUUUGUUGUGAACGUCAUAACCUUUCGUCCUUAAAUAUUGCCGAUACUUGACCUACGCAAGAGACAAUGUCAUGUGAUUCAGCCUAAUAUCUCAGAGGAUGCAGCAUUCAAGGUUCUAUCUUGGAAGCAGAGACUGUGCCCUCACCAGAUGCUGAACCUGCUGAGCACCCUGAUCUUCCACUUCACCUUCAUCAGAACUGUCUUUGAGGAAUUGUCACACUGUCUUCUGCAAUGGAUGAACUAAUUUACACUCUCAACAACAGUGUAUAAGCAUUCCUUUUGCUCUGCAACCUCACCAGACAUCUGGACGCGCAUGAAAUUUGGUGCCGUGACUCGGAUCGGCGGACCUCCCUUAGGAGAUCAAUCCCCUGUCCUCCUGCUCUUUGCUCCAUGAGAAAGAUCCACCUACGACCUAAGGUCCUCAGACCAACCAGCCCAAGAAACAUCUCACCAAUUUCAAAUCCGAAAUCCUUCAUCUAAUCUGGCAAACACAUGUGGCAGGUUUUUCUCACCGCAUAAAAUAUGUUAUAGAGUAGUCCAUCUAUUUCUCUUCCAUGGAAGAGUUCAUCUGGUAGAUUGGACUACCACUUUUCCUUGUCCCGAGUUCUCAUCCCGCAUCCAGGAAGAAUGAGGUUAUGUGGACACCUGGAGGGUGAGCGAGGCUGAGAAAAGCUUUAUUGGGCAACCAGACAGCUCUCAGAAGAGAGGUGACCUGAAGCAGGUAACCCCUAUCUGCAAGUAGGUACUCCCAACUAGUGUCUAGUCUGGCUCUUAAAAGUAAUACCAAACCAUUACUUUUUAAUUGUUCUAUUUGUAAUAUUUACAUUCUAUUGAAUAACUAAGGGAAUUCAAAAUCCUUUGCUUAUAUGUUAAGUUUUUAAAAUGGAAAAUAAAUAAA